rnacentral:tmRNA from 1 species
GGGCCUGACACAGUUUCGAUUGCGGGCAGAGGGCGAUGUAAGCAUACCGAAGGCUCGGCUUCGUAAAAACGGAAUUUAAAUUUAAACGCAGAAUCAAAAGAUUCCAAAGUUGUUGCUUUCCCUGCAUUCAGGGGCGCAAUGGCUUGCGCUGCUUAACUUUAAGCAGUCCGUCCUUCGCGCAGUUCCGUCGGGCGCGCGGGGCGUUAUUCAGACGGAUAACGGCAUGAGCGCCUUUGCUGCGGCGCACACGCUGUAAUUUUGCGGCAUGCGGCCGUGAAGUCCCGUUUAUCGGGCGGCACGGUUUAAGUUUAAAGGUAAACUAAGUAUGUAGAAAGCUCGCGCGAACCCCGUAAGACCAGAGUGCAACUCUCUGCAGGUCCACCA